rnacentral:rRNA from 1 species
AGCGAACGCUGGCGGCAGGCCUAACACAUGCAAGUCGAACGAACCUUUCGGGGUUAGUGGCGGACGGGUGAGUAACACGUGGGAACGUGCCUUUAGGUUCGGAAUAACUCAGGGAAACUUGUGCUAAUACCGAAUGUGCCCUUCGGGGGAAAGAUUUAUCGCCUUUAGAGCGGCCCGCGUCUGAUUAGCUAGUUGGUUGAGGUAAUGGCUCACCAAGGCGACGAUCAGUAGCUGGUCUGAGAGGAUGAUCAGCCACAUUGGGACUGAGACACGGCCCAAACGCCUACGGGAGGCAGCAGUGGGGAAUCUUGCGCAAUGGGCGAAAGCCUGACGCAGCCAUGCCGCGUGAAUGAUGAAGGUCUUAGGAUUGUAAAAUUCUUUCACCGGGGACGAUAAUGACGGUACCCGGAGAAGAAGCCCCGGCUAACUUCGU